UUUUUUCAGAAUAAAACAUGUCUGCUGUUAAAGUGGACUUUGGACGCGGCAUAAAUCAAAGGCUCGAGUUGAAGUAUUCUGACACACCUACUCCCGAGUCGGAAGAAAUAGAGCAUUUGAUGCCAGUAGCAAAGCGCCCUCAGCUGGAUGAGAGAAUUACAUUUCUGUAACAGGAAAACGAUUCUUGGGAAUAAAACAUGUCUGCUGUUAAAGUGGACUUUGGACGCGGCAUAAAUCAAAGGCUCGAGUUGAAGUAUUCUGACACACCUACUCCCGAGUCGGAAGAAAUAGAGCAUUUGAUGCCAGCAGCAAAGCGCCCUCGGCUGGAUGAGAGAAUUACAUUUCUGUAACAGGAAAACGAUUCUUGGGGUAUUUGACAAAUCAUUAUUUGUUCAUAUUUUAGUUUAUCGUUAUUGACAUGCAUUAUGUAAAUUUGACUCUUUUUGCUUUUUUCAGAAUAAAACAUGUCUGCUGUUAAAGUGGACUUUGGACGCGGCAUAAAUCAAAGGCUCGAGUUGAAGUAUUCUGACACACCUACUCCCGAGUCGGAAGAAAUAGAGCAUUUGAUGCCAGCAGCAAAGCGCCCUCGGCUGGAUGAGAGAAAUACAUUUCUGUAACAGGAAAACGAUUCUUGGGAAUAAAACAUCUCUGCUGUUCAAGUGGACUUUGGACGCGGCAUAAAUCAAAGGCUCGAGUUGAAGUAUUCUGACACACCUACUCCCGAGUCGGAAGAAAUAGAGCAUUUGAUGCCAGCAGCAAAGCGCCCUUGGCUGGAUGACAGAAUUACUUUUUUCGAAUAGGAAGAUAAUUCUUGCCGUGUUUCGCAAAUCAUUAUUAGUUUGUAUUUUAUUUUAUCGUUAUUGAUAUGCAUUAUGUAAAGUUCACUCUUUUAGCA
rnacentral:lncRNA from 1 species